GACGAACGCUGGCGGCGUGCUUAACACAUGCAAGUCGAACGGAAAGGCCCUGCUUUUGUGGGGUGCUCGAGUGGCGAACGGGUGAGUAACACGUGAGUAACCUGCCCUUUACUUUGGGAUAACUUCAGGAAACUGGGGCUAAUACCGGAUAGGAGCUCCUGCUGCAUGGUUGUGGUUGGAAAGUUUCGGCGGUUGGGGAUGGACUCGCGGCUUAUCAGCUUGUUGGUGGGGUAGUGGCUUACCAAGGCUUUGACGGGUAGCCGGCCUGAGAGGGUGACCGGCGACAUUGGGACUGAGAUACGGCCCAGACUCCUACGGGAGGCAGCAGUGGGGAAUAUUGCACAAUGGGCGGAAGCCUGAUGCAGCAACGCCGCGUGCGGGAUGACGGCCUUCGGGUUGUAAACCGCUUUCGCCUGUGACGAAGCGUGAGUGACGGUAAUGGGUAAAGAAGCACCGGCUAACUACGUG
rnacentral:rRNA from 1 species